UACGUAGGGUGCGAGCGUUAAUCGGAAUUACUGGGCGUAAAGCGUGCGCAGGCGGUUUCACAAGCUAGAUGUGAAAGCCCCGGGCUUAACCUGGGAAUGGCAUUUAGGACUGUGGAGCUCGAGUGCGGCAGAGGGAGGUGGAAUUCCACGUGUAGCAGUGAAAUGCGUAGAGAUGUGGAGGAACACCGAUGGCGAAGGCAGCCUCCUGGGCCGACACUGACGCUCAUGCACGAAAGCGUGGGGAGCAAACAGG
rnacentral:rRNA from 1 species